GCGGACGUGGCGGAACGGUAGACGCAGCAGACUUAAAAUCUGGUUCCCUCAGGGGAGUGCGGGUUCGAAUCCCGCCGUCCGCA
rnacentral:tRNA from 3 species